UACUGCCAGACUUGGAACCGGGAGAGGUAAGAGGUACUACAGGGGUAGGAGUGAAAUCUUGUAAUCCCUGUGGGACCACCUGUGGCGAAGGCGUCUUACCAGAACGGGUUCGACGGUGAGGGACGAAAGCUGGGGGCACGAACCGGAUUAGAUACCCGGGUAGUCCCAGCCGUAAACGAUGCUCGCUAGGUGUCAGGCAUGGCGCGACCGUGUCUGGUGCCGCAGGGAAGCCGUGAAGCGAGCCACCUGGGAAGUACGGCCGCAAGGCUGAAACUUAAAGGAAUUGGCGGGGGAGCACAACAACGGGUGGAAGCCUGCGGUUUAAUUAGACUCAACGCCGGACAACUCACCGGGGGCGAACAGCAAUAUGUAGGCCAAGCUGAAGACUUUGCCUAGAAUCGCUGAGUAGAGGUGCAUGG
rnacentral:rRNA from 1 species